rnacentral:rRNA from 1 species
AGACCCGAAACCCGGUGAUCUAGCCAUGGGCAGGUUGAAGGUUGGGUAACACUAACUGGAGGACCGAACCGACUAAUGUUGAAAAAUUAGCGGAUGACCUGUGGCUGGGGGUGAAAGGCCAAUCAAACCGGGAGAUAGCUGGUUCUCCCCGAAAGCUAUUUAGGUAGCGCCUCGUGAAUUCAUCUCCGGGGGUAGAGCACUGUUUCGGCUAGGGGGCCAUCCCGGCUUACCAACCCGAUGCAAACUGCGAAUACCGGAGAAUGUUAUCACGGGAGACACACGGCGGGUGCUAACGUCCGUCGUGAAGAGGGAAACAACCCAGACCGCCAGCUAAGGUCCCAAAGUCAUGGUUAAGUGGGAAACGAUGUGGGAAGGCCCAGACAGCCAGGAUGUUGGCUUAGAAGCAGCCAUCAUUUAAAGAAAGCGUAAUAGCUCACUGGUCGAGUCGGCCUGCGCGGAAGAUGUAACGGGGCUAAACCAUGCACCGAAGCUGCGGCAGCGACACUCAGGUGUUGUUGGGUAGGGGAGCGUUCUGUAAGCCUGCGAAGGUGGCCUGUGAGGGUUGCUGGAGGUAUCAGAAGUGCGAAUGCUGACAUAAGUAACGAUAAAGCGGGUGAAAAGCCCGCUCGCCGGAAGACCAAGGGUUCCUGUCCAACGUUAAUCGGGGCAGGGUGAGUCGACCCCUAAGGCGAGGCCGAAAGGCGUAGUCGAUGGGAAACGGGUUAAUAUUCCCGUACUUGGUGUUACUGCGAAGGGGGGACGGAGAAGGCUAUGUUGGCCGGGCGACGGUUGUCCCGGUUUAAGCGUGUAGGUGUGUGUUCCAGGUAAAUCCGGUUCACUUUAACACUGAGGCGUGAUGACGAGGCACUACGGUGCUGAAGCAACAAAUGCCCUGCUUCCAGGAAAAGCCUCUAAGCAUCAGGUAACAUCAAAUCGUACCCCAAACCGACACAGGUGGUCAGGUAGAGAAUACCAAGGCGCUUGAGAGAACUCGGGUGAAGGAACUAGGCAAAAUGGUGCCGUAACUUCGGGAGAAGGCACGCUGACACGUAGGUGAAGUGAUUUACUCAUGGAGCUGAAGUCAGUCGAAGAUACCAGCUGGCUGCAACUGUUUAUUAAAAACACAGCACUGUGCAAACACGAAAGUGGACGUAUACGGUGUGACGCCUGCCCGGUGCCGGAAGGUUAAUUGAUGGGGUCAGCGCAAGCGAAGCUCCUGAUCGAAGCCCCGGUAAACGGCGGCCGUAACUAUAACGGUCCUAAGGUAGCGAAAUUCCUUGUCGGGUAAGUUCCGACCUGCACGAAUGGCGUAAUGAUGGCCAGGCUGUCUCCACCCGAGACUCAGUGAAAUUGAACUCGCUGUGAAGAUGCAGUGUACCCGCGGCAAGACGGAAAGACCCCGUGAACCUUUACUAUAGCUUGACACUGAACAUUGAGCCUUGAUGUGUAGGAUAGGUGGGAGGCUUUGAAGUGUGGACGCCAGUCUGCAUGGAGCCGACCUUGAAAUACCACCCUUUAAUGUUUGAUGUUCUAACGUGGACCCGUGAUCCGGGUUGCGGACAGUGUCUGGUGGGUAGUUUGACUGGGGCGGUCUCCUCCUAAAGAGUAACGGAGGAGCACGAAGGUUGGCUAAUCCUGGUCGGACAUCAGGAGGUUAGUGCAAUGGCAUAAGCCAGCUUGACUGCGAGCGUGACGGCGCGAGCAGGUGCGAAAGCAGGUCAUAGUGAUCCGGUGGUUCUGAAUGGAAGGGCCAUCGCUCAACGGAUAAAAGGUACUCCGGGGAUAACAGGCUGAUACCGCCCAAGAGUUCAUAUCGACGGCGGUGUUUGGCACCUCGAUGUCGGCUCAUCACAUCCUGGGGCUGAAGUAGGUCCCAAGGGUAUGGCUGUUCGCCAUUUAAAGUGGUACGCGAGCUGGGUUUAGAACGUCGUGAGACAGUUCGGUCCCUAUCUGCCGUGGGCGCUGGAGAACUGAGGGGGGCUGCUCCUAGUACGAGAGGACCGGAGUGGACGCAUCACUGGUGUUCGGGUUGUCAUGCCAAUGGCACUGCCCGGUAGCUAAAUGCGGAAGAGAUAAGUGCUGAAAGCAUCUAAGCACGAAACUUGCCCCGAGAUGAGUUCUCCCUGAGACUUUAAGUCUCCUGAAGGAACGUUGAAGACGACGACGUUGAUAGGCCGGGUGUGUAAGCGCAGCGAUGCGUUGAGCUAACCGGUACUAAUGAACCGUGAGGCUUAACCUUACA